AUGGCUUUGGUCUCCAUCUUCAUCUGGACGCUCACCCUCUGGACUCAAGGAUCCAGUGGUCAGGUGACCAUGACUCAGACUCCUGCAGUGAAAACUGUUUCUCCAGGAGACUCAGUUACCAUCAGCUGUAGAACCAGCACUGCAGUAUAUAACAAUAACUGUCUAGCCUGGUAUCAGCAGAAACCUGGAGAAGCCCCUAAACUCCUGAUCUACUACGCUACCAGCAGACAGUCAGGUAUUCCAGCUCGUUUCAGUGGCAGUGGAUCUGGAUCUGACUUCACUCUGACCAUCAGUAAUGUCCAGACUGAAGAUGCAGGAGAUUAUUACUGUCAGAGUUUUCAUUAUAUCAGUAGCACAAACCUGUGGACUUUUGGUGGAGGAACCAAACUGUCAGUUGGAAGUGUGGCCGCGCCCACCCUCACGGUCCUGCCCCCCUCCAGCGUGGAGCUGCAGCAGGGGAAGGCCACACUCGUGUGUUUGGCCAACAAGGGCUUCCCCUCAGACUGGAGGCUGAGCUGGAAGGUGGACGGGAGCAGCUGGAGCUCUGGAGUUAGUCAGAGCCCCGGGCUUCUGCAGAAGGACAACGGCCUCUACAGCUGGAGCAGCACCCUGACCCUCCAGGAGGACCAGUGGCUAAAGAAGACAGUGACCUGUGAGGCCACCAAGGACUCCCAGCCUCCUGUCAGCCAAACCCUGAGGAGAGAGCAAUGCACUGGGCAGUGAGCGUCCACGUGUGUGUUGGAGCUGCUAGAGCUCCUCUUGAUCUUCAUUGAGCUCAAACAUGGCUCUGCUUAAUGCUCUGAUCUUCAUCUCAUCACUUCAUCAUCACAAUAAAGAGCUUCAGUAUUAAUAUCUGCAGUCUUUCCUUGUUUAUUGUGUUAUUUUCUUUAUACUCAACCAGCAACAAUAAACAUGUAAACAUUU